GCCAGGAUGGUCUGGAUCUCCUGACCUCAUGAUCCGCCUGCCUUGGCCUCCCAAAGUGCUGGGAUUACAGGCGUGAGCCACUGCGCCUGAUCUUUUUUUUUUAGACCGGGUCUUGCUCUGUCACCCAGGCUGGAGUACAGUGAGGUGAACAUGGCUUACUGCAGGCUCAAGUGAUCCCCCUGCCUCAGUCUCCCAAGUACCUGGGAUCACAGGCAUGCACCACUACACCCAGCUAAUUUUUAAAAAUUUUUUGUAGAGACAGGAUCUCACUUUGUUGCCCAGGCUGGUCUCAAGCUCAAGUGAUCCUCCUGUCUCAGCCCCCCAAAGAGCUGGGAUUACAGGCGUGAGCCACCAUGCCCAGCCCAUUCUCUCUUUUAAUGUUAGUAUAACUAUACAUUUGUAAGCAGGAUCAUGGCAUAGUGAAAAGUAACUUUUAGGAUCAGAUAUGCCUGGAAUUAAAUUCCAUUUGCUAUUUAUCAACUGUGUGGUCUUGAGCAGGUUAACCUGUUAGUGCCUCACUUUCCUCCACUGUAAAAUAAGAAUACAACCCAUCUUGCAGUGUUGUGAGGAUUAGGAAUGACAGCUAUCAAUCUUCUGCCAUUUUGCUUCAGAAUUUUACAAAAUUAUACAAGUAAAAAAAUGAGUAAAUAUAUUCUCCUUACAAACAAAUUUAGAAUUACAAAAUAUGAAAUUACUUGCUGACCCUAUCCCUUCCCAUCUUGCCAGUAGUAACCACUAAUGUUAGUUUGGUGCAUACUGAUAGACUAAAUAUACAAACGGACAAGGACCAGACCAUAUAUGUCAAUAGAACUCGGACACACAACCUCUGCAGCAACCAGCCUGGGAAGCCAAACCACAAGCUCUGAUACAAUUGGUUCUGAAGUGUCAGUGCUUGGUCAAUGACUGUCAGCUUUUAACUCAGGACCAACCAGACAAAGCCAAAUGUACUCCCCAAACCAAUCACAUAAGAUGGCUCACUUGUAAUUACCCACCUCUAGCUUCCCAAACCAAGUUUCCAAUUGUAGCAUUUGUGAAUCUUCCCUCUUUUCACUAUAAAGCUUUUCAUUUCUGCUUUGGCUGCCUGUGAGUAUCUGCCAAACACAAGCGAUGGUGUUUGACUCCCUUGUUUUAGUAAGCAAUGAAUAAAUAGCCUCUGAUUGUUCUCAUUUUGGGUGGUCUCUGUUUAUUUCCAUGGUAUGGUUCCAGUCUUUUUAUUGUGGAAAUAUAGAUGGACAUUUAUAUGUGUAUAUCCCUGGGAAAUAUAUACCAUUUUGUGGACUUUUAAAAGCAAAAAUGUUACACGUAUUGAUUUAUAUCUUGUUUUUUUUCUCAAAAAUAUCCAGGAAAUCUAUGCAUGUUAAUUCAUCUUGAUUAUUUUAACUGGAGGGAGGUAGUAAUAUCUGUCUUGGUGUCUUUAACACAGCUCUGUGGUGCUGCCUACUUCAGUGCUUGCUUUCCUGUCUAUGUCUAUCACAGAGACGUUCUUUUUACCUUUACACCCCCAUCCUACUUCCCUUUCACCUGCAUCCCCAGCUUACUCCUUUACUACGUAUCCUUUGAACUGCAGUCGAUUCACCAUGAUCUUGGCUGGCUGUCUUCUUCCUUCAUGGCUGCUAGUAAUGACAAUUCAGUGGCUGUUUCUUCAGCUGUGCAAAGUUGGAACAUGUUUGGGAGUUCAACGGCAUUGGUUUCUGGUUGGUAAAUGUCCUGUUUAUUGCCUGUUCAAUUUCCUCAUUACUGACUGUGAGAAAUUACAAGUCUUAUUCAUGCUGGAUUCUUUUACCUUGAGUCAGUUUUCAGUUGUAUGUAAGAAAUUUUUUCCAAUGAAUUAAACAUACCAACCUUAGAAACUGGCUUGUGAAGGAAGUAAAAUAAAGUCAAAUGCUUCAUUUAUCUUUGCUUUUACCAAAUAAUUUAGGUAAACUUUGCAGUCACCCAAAUAAUGUCCCUCCUGGUAAAUACCAAAACAUUCAGAAUUAGGACACCUGAUGGUAAGGACUAAGAAGAAUCACUUUUAAGAUCUGCCCAUUUGCAUGGGCUGCUAAAGCCUCUAGACCAUGUAAGAACAAUUUAAUGAAGUGAUACUAGUGUAGACUCUGGGAUAAUAUAGCUUGCAUGUGUUUUUUGUUGUUGUUGUUUUGUUUUGUUUUGAGACAGGGUAUUGCUCUGUCUCCCAGACUGGAGUGCAGUGGUGUGAUCUUGGCUCACUGCAACCUCCGCCUUCUGGGUUCAAGCGAUUCUUGUGCCUCAGCCUCCAGAGUAGCUGGGAUUACAGGCAUGUGCCACCACACCCAGCUAAUUUUUGUAGUUUUAGUAGGGACAGGGUUUCACCAUGUUGGCCAGGCUGGCCUCAUGUGAUCUGUCUGCCUUGGCCUCCCAAACUGCUGGGAUUAUAGGUGUGAGCCACCGUGCCUAGCCUAACCUGAUUUGAAUCCUCAUUCCUCUGGUUUAAUGAACUUGGGCAAAUUUUAUAACUUCUUUGAGUCUAAGUUUUCUCAUGUUUUUAAUGAAGAUGAAAUUACUUACCUUUGUAAGUAAUGUUUGUUGGAGAGGAAAAUCUUUUCCUCUACCCUCUUAGGUUCAGUUCUUGAGGGCCUGGGAAUUAAACUUAGACAAAACAUAGAUUUUUAUUCACGCAGGAGCACACAGAAAAAUGUGACUCUAAACAACUAAAGAUGGGGGUUUAUAUACCUAAUAGGGGAGAGGUUACUUAAUGGGGGAGAAGAAGGGGGGAGUAAAGCCCUCUAUGUAGGGAAGAACAAAUGAGUAUUUAGGGGAAGAAAUGAAAAAGAAGAAGGUUUGUGAUAAUGUUUGUUUAUGCAGGUGCAAGCGGUCUUCUCUGUCUUCUUUAUGGCCAGUAAAAUUCUCCAGAAGAGAUUUAUGGCAGCCUCACUCCCAGUAGUUUCUGCAUUUAGUGAGAUAAGGAAUGGAUUUUCUUCUGUGUAUUGCUGACACGAACAGGAGACGGAAAUACUGAGUAGAAGAGGGCGGUUCCCUGGCUAAGGCCCCACCCUCAAGCCUGGAUACCCGCGGCCC
ensembl:lncRNA SLC12A2-DT SLC12A2 divergent transcript